rnacentral:rRNA from 1 species
AACGAACGCUGGCGGCAUGCCUAACACAUGCAAGUCGAACGAGACCUUCGGGUCUAGUGGCGCACGGGUGCGUAACGCGUGGGAACCUGCCCUUAGGUUCGGAAUCACUCCCCGACAGGGGUGCUAAUACCGGAUAAUGUCUUCGGACCAAAGAUUUAUCGCCUUUGGAUGGGCCCGCGUUGGAUUAGCUAGUUGGUAGGGUACAAGCCUACCAAGGCGACGAUCCAUAGCUGGUCUGAGAGGAUGAUCAGCCACACUGGGACUGAGACACGGCCCAGACUCCUACGGGAGGCAGCAGUGGGGAAUAUUGGACAAUGGGCGAAAGCCUGAUCCAGCAAUGCCGCGUGAGUGAUGAAGGCCUUAGGGUUGUAAAGCUCUUUUACCCGGGAUGAUAAUGACAGUACCGUGAGAAUAAGCUCCGGCUAACUCCGUG